rnacentral:rRNA from 1 species
CAGUAGCCACGGGAAUACGUAGGGUGCAAGCGUCAAUCGGAAUCACUGGGCGUAAAGCGUGCGCAGGCGGUUUGUUAAGACAGAUGUGGAAUCCCCGGGCCUAACCUGGGAACUGCAUUUGUGACUGGCAAGCUAGAGUAUGGCAGAGGGGGGUGGAAUUCCGCGUGUAGCAGUGAAAUGCGUAGAUAUGCGGAGGAACACCGAUGGCGAAGGCAGCCCCCUGGGCCAAUACUGACGCUCAUGCACGAAAGCGUGGGGAGCAAACAGGAUUAGAUACCCCCGUAGUCCCUGUCUCUUAUAC